UUUUUAAAAAAUGGGGUGCCUGGGUGGCUCAGAUGGGUUCCUGGAUGCAAGCACAGAACCUGAUUCUCACUUAUGCAGAAAAGGAGGGGACUGAAGACCAUCAGAUAAGAGCACAUAACCUGAGUCUCCUCCACAUAAUCUGAAAUUGAGGGAUUCUAUCAAGAGAAAGCUUCAUGGGCGUGAGAGUAACACAGAUCAUGCCUGAAAUCACUUCACAUCCAGUUCGAACACUUCAAAAGUGGAAAGAAAAUACUUAAAAAUUCAAAAUAUUUUUUAAAAGGCUGAGGCAGAGGGGA